UGGCGGCUCAGAUGACAGGGGAGUCGCUGUGACCGGUGUUCCCUCAUCAGACAAUGAGCUGUUGGUGCAAGCUGUUGCACUGCACUCACUGUCCACCCCUGCUGCAUCACUCAGCCGUCUGUACAGAAACAAAUUUCCCUCUGAAUUUACAGAUGCAAAAGCUCACUGAGAUCCAGAAUUAUUAAAUCAGUCAAUGCAAAGUGGCCUACCCCACCCAUUCUAUGAGAUGGAGAGGCUUUUGGUCAUUGUGGGAAGUGAAGAGGAAGAGGAGAAAAUGGAGGCUGGAGAGUUGUCUUUCGCAGAGUCUGAAAAACAGAUCGGGACAUUGAGCAGGAUGAGGCAUCAUUCACACCUUGGAGGCUUUUCCAUUCUACAAAUAGACACUUCAAAUGUCUGCUUUCUGUUCAGAUGCUUUGUAUAUAUCUAUGUAGCCACUGAAUGUAAUACUAACUGGAUUAUAAAGCUGUGAGGGAGUGUGCAUUAGUUAUCUUUCAUUGUUCAACUGAGCAUGCAGCCUGCAGUUGUGACAAUAUGUUGUAGUAAUUGAAGCAGAUUUUGUUUUGACCUUGACACCUUUGUCAGUGAAGACACAGAGCACAAUCACAUUAAGAAAUAAAA